UACGAAGGGGGCUAGCGUUGUUCGGAUUACUGGGCGUAAAGCGCACGUAGGCGGAUCGAUCAGUCAGGGGUGAAAUCCCAGAGCUCAACUCUGGAACUGCCUUUGAUACUGUCGAUCUGGAGUAUGGAAGAGGUGAGUGGAAUUCCGAGUGUAGAGGUGAAAUUCGUAGAUAUUCGGAGGAACACCAGUGGCGAAGGCGACUCACUGGACACAUAUUGACGCUGAGGUGCGAAAGCGUGGGGAGCAAACAGG
rnacentral:rRNA from 1 species